rnacentral:rRNA from 1 species
AUUGAACGCUGCGGCAGGCCUAACACAUGCAAGUCGAACGGUAACAGGAAGCAGCUUGCUGCUUUGCUGACGAGUGGCGGACGGGUGAGGUAAUGUCUGGGAAACUGGCCUGAUGGAGGGGGAGUAACUACUGGAAACGGUAGCUAAUACAGCAUAACGUCGCAAGACCAAAGAGGGGGACCUUCGGGCCUCUUGCCAUCGGAUGUGCCCAGAUGGGAUUAGCUAGUAGGUGGGGUAACGGCUCACCUAGGCGACGAUCCCUAGCUGGUCUGAGAGGAUGACCAGCCACACUGGAACUGAGACACGGUCCAGACUCCUACGGGAGGCAGCAGUGGGGAAUAUUGCACAAUGGGCGCAAGCCUGAUGCAGCCAUGCCGCGUGUAUGAAGAAGGCCUUCGGGUUGUAAAGUACUUUCAGCGGGAGGAAGGCGAUAAGGUUAAUAACCUUGUCGAUUGACGUUACCCGCAGAAGAAGCACCGGCUAACUCCGUG